UUUUAGCCCUGAUCGUAGUGGAAAGCUUUUUGUAGCAUCGUUAUAUUUUUUCUUGUAAAUAAGAGCGACUUUAGAAGCUCCUUAAUUUACUUAGAAAAAAAUAAAAGAGAAUAUAAAAACUUGAAAUGUAGAGCAGGAUUAGCU
rnacentral:sRNA from 1 species